UACGUAGGGUGCAAGCGUUGUCCGGAAUUAUUGGGCGUAAAGAGCUCGUAGGCGGUUUGUCGCGUCUGCUGUGAAAACCCGAGGCUCAACCUCGGGCCGCAGUGGGUACGGGCAGACUAGAGUGCGGUAGGGGGAGAUUGGAAUUCCUGGUGUAGCGGUGGAAUGCGCAGAUAUCAGGAGGAACACCAAUGGCGAAGGCAGAUCUCUGGGCCGUAACUGACGCUGAGGAGCGAAAGCAUGGGGGAGCGAACAGG
rnacentral:rRNA from 1 species